GGUCCGGGGGUGUCACACGCCAGAUUGCAAAUCUGGAGACGCAGAAGGGAUUCUGCCGGGGCUU
rnacentral:tRNA from 1 species